rnacentral:lncRNA from 1 species
GCCACCAAAACCCUAGCCGCCCCCCCCCCAAUCCCCUCCUCCCUAGGUGCUACUCCGUGCCGCUCGGAUCAUCGUCUUUUGGUGCGAAUCUCCAAUCAUUUUGGUGGAAGGAAGAAGGGAGGAAGGAAAAAGGGGAGAACCCAAGGUGAUUUUUCUUUUGUGUUCAUCCCUUGUUCAUUUGCGCUGCGAUUCAAUGGAUUAGAUGUUGCGUUUGCGAUUAGAUAGAGGGGGGGCUGUCCAGAAUUUUGCGUGGUGGAUGAACAGCGGUAGUUCCAGCAGUUUUAGUUUUUUUUCGUGAAGAUUUAAUGGGGAUCAAUUUGGGAAUCUUGUAGAACUUUGUUUUAUCUUUCCAACGAGUAUUUAUGCGCUCAAUUUGGAGUUAUAAAUUAAAAGUUAUCAUCGUUUGAAUCCGGGUAUGUGGCUGUCCAGAAAACAGAUUUUUCAGAGUGAUGAACAGCAGCAGUGUUAGCAGUUUCUGGGAAUUUUUCGGGAGCAAUUAGUGUUAAUCAGUAUUAGAACCUUGUAGAACUUUGUUUUAUCUUUCCAACGAGUAUUUAUGCGCUCAAUUUGGAGUUAUAAAUUAAAAGUUAUCAUCGUUUGAAUCCGGGUAUGUGGCUGUCCAGAAAACAGAUUUUUCAGAGUGAUGAACAGCAGCAGUGUUAGCAGUUUCUGGGGAUGUUUCGGGAGUAAUUAGUGUUAAUCAGUAUGAGAAUCAUGUAGGGCUUUUUCUUAUCUUUCCAACAAGUACUUAUGCACUCAAAUCGGAAUUAUAUUUUAAAAGUUAUCGCUGUUUGAAUCCGCGUAUGUCGCUGCUCAAAUCAGAAAAAAACAGAUUGCAGGGUUUAUUUUGAGGACCGUUUAGAGGUAAGUAGAUGUUAGAAUUCAAUCAUGAGUUGUAUAUAAAACUUGUGGGGAAUUUUAUGUAGUUGUCUCUGAAGUUUUUGUUUAUUAUCACUGCUGUCCUAAAUUUUAAGUUAUGGACUUGUUAAGCAGCGCCGCUGCAGUUUGGUUAGUGAGGGGAGAAUUGUUACCGUGGCGGGGUUUGAGAUUGCGCGUAGGUGCGGUGUUGUUUUUGAGUUUUUUUUCAUGAGAAUUUGGUGCACUAAGUUGGGUGUCAAAAACAGGUGGUGGACUUCCGGAUCGCUCUUAGGGAUUUUGCCCUAACUUCGGUAAAGGCAAGUAAAACAGUGAUGGUUAUUUCGUCUUUUGAUUGAAAAGGCUCAUACUUGAUUAUGUUUGUGCUAUUUGUGUUCGUAUCCAUUUUCCUAAUUGGGUACCAUCGUUUGAAAUUAUUUAUGCUUUAUUGAUUAUACAUGUGGAGGGUGUGGUUUGAUCAUGUUACCCAUGUGGUUAUUGAUGUGAAAUGGGUGGAAGUAUAUGUCUAGCACAUUUUAUUUGGGAAGAACUCAUGUUGUUGACAUGCAUAAUGCAUUCAUCAUCCAUUGCAUUGAAGUUUUCGUCGCGAUCUUAUGGUCCGACCGUACCGGUACAAAUGAGCAUCAUAUGUUUCCCGAGAAGGGGUAUGAUGCAGCUUCAUAUCCUUAGAGGUAUGAAGGCAGAAGUCAUGUUGCAUCUGUAGCCAUGUGCAUUCAUGGGUGAAGUGUGGAACCUAUUUUGGUGAUGUGGAUAAGGUGGAUCUUUACUUUGUAAUUCAUCUUGGCAUUGAGUAAUUGAUUACUUGCUUACUUGCUGCAAAUUAAUAUUUAAGGAAGAAGUGGGGAACCAUGUGGUUGCUUAUGCACGGUUGGCUUGCAUUGUCCAACUGUUGUUUGUUUUUUUUACUUGCUGAGAUGUGUCAUCUCACUCUUGCAUUGUCUGAUGCAGGCACCUGAUCUUUGCUUUGGGAAAGAAGGGAUGUAGCAGCACGGCCACCACACUUUUAAAUAAAGGAAUAACUGUUUAUUAAUGAUGUUAAACAGGAAGGGUCAAGUCUAGGGAAUUAUUACAUUCUAAUCUUUCAUGGUAGUUGAACUGUUUAGUUUGGUGGGCUGAGAUGUCUAUCUUUUGUCUGGUCAUGAAUGUUUUUUUUCUACCGUUGCAUUUUGAUUAUACUAUGGCAAUUAUCUUUCUUUUAUAUCCUGU